rnacentral:rRNA from 1 species
GGUGAACGCUGGCGGUAGGCCUAACACAUGCAAGUCGAACGGCAGCACAGUAAGAGCUUGCUCUUACGGGUGGCGAGUGGCGGGCGGGUGAGGAAUACAUCGGAAUCUACUUUUUCGUGGGGGAUAACGUAGGGAAACUUACGCUAAUACCGCAUACGACCUACGGGUGAAAGCAGGGGAUCUUCGGACCUUGCGCGAUUGAAUGGGCCGAUGUCGGAUUAGCUAGUUGGCGGGGUAAAGGCCCACCAAGGCGACGAUCCGUAGCUGGUCUGAGAGGAUGAUCAGCCACACUGGAACUGAGACACGGUCCAGACUCCUACGGGAGGCAGCAGUGGGGAAUAUUGGACAAUGGGCGCAAGCCUGAUCCAGCCAUACCGCGUGGGUGAAGAAGGCCUUCGGGUUGUAAAGCCCUUUUGUUGGGAAAGAAAAGCAGCAGGUUAAUACCCCGCUGUUCUGACGGUACCCAAAGAAUAAGCACCGGCUAACUUCGUG